rnacentral:rRNA from 1 species
CGGGACGGGUGAGUAACACGUGGGUAAUCUGCCUUAUACAGGGGGAUAACAGUUAGAAAUGACUGCUAAUACCGCAUAAGCGCACGGAAACGCAUGUUUCUGUGUGAAAAACUCCGGCAGUAUAAGAUGAGCCCGCGUCUGAUUAGCUGGUUGGUGGGGUAACGGCCUACCAAGGCGACGAUCAGUAGCCGGCCUGAGAGGGUGAACGGCCACAUUGGGACUGAGACACGGCCCAAACUCCUACGGAAGGCAGCAG